ensembl:lncRNA
GCUUAGGGCCUGCUUGGUUUCAUGGGUGCCCUGAUCCUGUUCCACAUUAAAUCUAUCAGAAUUUGCAAUUCAAUCUUUUCUCUUAAUUUUCACUUUUAAAAAUUCUGACAAGUCCCGGGUGUGUAGCCAAGGACUGCACAGGAAGCUUAGGGAGACAGAGGAAGUGUGCCUCGUGGCCACAGGCGACUGAAAGGACCCAGGAGUGACCAAGACUAUUGUGGUUUCAGCACUGAAAGUACCUGCAUUCUCGGAAGUCCCUCAGUCCUCCGAAACCAGGACAGUUAGUCGCCCCCUCCUGUUUAACACCAGAAUAGAUGCUGAUUAUGCCUAUUUUAAAGAUAAGGAAACAGAGGCUCAGGGAGUUGGAAUAAUUGGCUAAGUGCACACACCUAAUGAGUGAUUAUGAAGCCCCUGCAGCUGCACACUCCCCUUCUCCGUUGCAAAACCGUGGUUCCUCCAGUCCCCAACUAGGCCCUGCAGACUAGAUAACACAAGAGGCAAAUGAGCCUGAGAGACUUCCGGCCAACAUCAGAGGAAUUUCCAUCAACUCUUAGGCAUCAUUUUCUCAUGAUGAAAAUGGGGAGAGAACAGGAGUCCCACUGAGAACGUGGAGCAACACUCUGAAGACCACACUUGAGCAGAAUGGACCUUUCUGAGCCUCGGAGGAAAGAAAAAGUCUGAUUUAAUUCUAAGGAAAUUGCCCUUUUUCCCCACCUGUGUAAGGCUGUAUUUAAAUGCUAAUAUUUUUGGCCUGCUGGGAUGCUACAUUUAUUUUCUUCCUAAGCAGCAAGAAAAAUCAUUUAUUUAUGAGAAUUCUAGCUCCUACCCUCUCUCCUGAGUUCCUCACUUUCAUUUCCAUCAACGAGCUAGACGCUUCUCUCCCCAAAACAAACGGACUCUGUAACCGUUUCAUUUCCCAAAACUCAUCCUUUUUGUACAUUUCCUGCUAUUGUUUCUAGAAAUACAUGUGGCUUUUGACUCCCUCCCCUUCCCCAGACUCCAGUCAAUCACUAGUUCCCUUGGCUCCACCUCCUCCCCUUGGGUGAGCCAUCAAGUCUGCCUGAGACUCCACUUCCCCAUCUGUAAAAUGGGUAUAAUAAAUCACACUACCAACAUCAUAAAUUUGUGGCAAAACCCAGAUAAUCCAAAUACAACACCCAGCACAGAGAAACAAGUGAUUAUUGACGAUCCUGACCCCGGUGGAAUCUGCUGUCUUCCUCUUAGUGGUUGUUCUAUUAUGGGCUGUUCAAUGACAGUCCUGCUGAUUAGAGAAACAUACACCGGUCACUAGUUGCUUUAUUUUCAUGCUCUGAAAUUCUCUACCUUAUAAA